rnacentral:rRNA from 1 species
AACUUUCAACAACGGAUCUCUUGGUUCUGGCAUCGAUGAAGAACGCAGCAAAAUGCGAUAAGUAAUGUGAAUUGCAAAAAAAAAUGAAUCAUCGAAUCUUUGAACGCACAUUGCGCCCGCUGGUAUUCCGGCGGGCAUGCCUGUUCGAGCGUCAUU